rnacentral:rRNA from 1 species
CCCUUAGAUGUUCUGGGCUGCACGCGCGCUACACUGAUGCAUUCAACGAGCCUAUCCUUGACCGACAGGUCCGGGUAAUCUUUGAAUCUGCAUCGUGACGGGGAUAGAUUAUUGCAAUUAUUAAUCUUCAACGAGGAAUGCCUAGUAGGCGCAAGUCAUCAGCUUGCGUCGAUUACGUCCCUGCCCUUUGUACACACCGCCCGUCGCUACUACCGAUUGAACGGUUUAGUGAGGGCCUCGGAUUGGUCUCGGCCCGCUCUUUACCGGGCGGCGCCGUUGGUCGAGAAGACGCUCGAACUUGAUCGUUUAGAGGAAGUAAAAGUCGUAACA